rnacentral:misc_RNA from 1 species
UUGUGGAGGAGGACGCCGAAGGUGGGGCUAAUGACUGGGGUGAAGUCAUAACAAGGUAGCCGUACCGGAAGGUGCGGCUGGAUCACCUCCUAACAGGGAGACAACAAAAUGUAAAUAUUAAUUUUGUCACCUUAGGUCGAUCGGUAUCUCAGAUUCUUAUUUUUUAAGAAUUUCAGUUUCUAAGUUUUUUCUAGGUCACACCCAUCACUUUUUCCUGGGCCAUUAGCUCAGGUGGUUAGAGCGCACCCCUGAUAAGGGUGAGGUCCCUGGUUCAAGUCCAGGAUGGCCCAUAUCUCUAUGUUGGGGGUAUAGCUCAGUUGGUAGAGCGCCUGCUUUGCAAGCAGGAUGUCAGCGGUUCGAGUCCGCUUACCUCCACUGAAUACCACCUCUUAACAUAUAUUUAAAGAGGGAAAUUGUUUUGAGUCGUGUCCAAAUUUGCUCUGAGCGAAUCUAGCUUCCUAUUUUUUUCAAUAAAUAAGAUGCUGGACUCAUUGAAUUUUUUUUCAUUGUUUUCAGAGAACCUUGACAACUGCAUAGAUUAUUUUUGAAGACAAUAAGCAUCUUUAAUGAUGCAGAUUUAUUAUUUGUGCGAAUGCAUUAAAUAACAAUUCUAUUAAGCUGAUGCUUCUAUUAUUGAAGUUAUUGGUCAAGCUACAA